GGCUCUGUGGUGCAAUGGAUAGCGCAUUGGACUUCUAGGCUCAGUGUUGAAGCUAUUCAAAGGUUGUGGGUUUGAGUCCCACCAGAGUCA
rnacentral:tRNA from 1 species